CGUCGCGGUGGUCGGAUCGGGGCGGCGCGCGCGUGGCUCGGGACCGCGCUGAAGCUGAAACCGAUCCUGACGGUCGACGGCGA
rnacentral:tRNA from 1 species